AACGAACGCUGGCGGCAUGCCUAACACAUGCAAGUCGAACGAGACCUUCGGGUCUAGUGGCGCACGGGUGCGUAACGCGUGGGAACCUGCCCUUAGGUUCGGAAUAACUCCCCGACAGGGGUGCUAAUACCGGAUAAUGUCUUCGGACCAAAGAUUUAUCGCCUUUGGAUGGGCCCGCGUUGGAUUAGCUAGUUGGUAGGGUAAAAGCCUACCAAGGCGACGAUCCAUAGCUGGUCUGAGAGGAUGAUCAGCCACACUGGGACUGAGACACGGCCCAGACUCCUACGGGAGGGAGCAGUGGGGAAUAGUGGAACAUGGGCUAAAGGCUGAUCCAGCAAUGACGCGUGAGUGAUGAAGGCCGUAGGGUUGUAAAGCUCUUUUACCCGGGAUGAUAAUGACAGUACCGGGAGAAUAAGCUCCGGCUAACUCCGUG
rnacentral:rRNA from 1 species